rnacentral:rRNA from 1 species
CGAACGGGUGAGUAACACGUGAGUAACCUGCCCCUGACUCUGGGAUAAGCGUUGGAAACGACGUCUAAUACUGGAUAUGAUCACUGGCCGCAUGGUCUGGUGGUGGAAAGAUUUUUUGGUUGGGGAUGGACUCGCGGCCUAUCAGCUUGUUGGUGAGGUAAUGGCUCACCAAGGCGACGACGGGUAGCCGGCCUGAGAGGGUGACCGGCCACACUGGGACUGAGACACGGCCCAGACUCCUACGGGAGGCAGCAGUGGGGAAUAUUGCACAAUGGGCGAAAGCCUGAUGCAGCAACGCCGCGUGAGGGAUGACGGCCUUCGGGUUGUAAACCUCUUUUAGUAGGGAAGAAGCGAAAGUGACGGUACCUGCAGAAAAAGCACCGGCUAACUACGUGCCAGCAGCCGCGGUAAUACGUAGGGUGCAAGCGUUGUCCGGAAUUAUUGGGCGUAAAGAGCUCGUAGGCGGUUUGUCGCGUCUGCUGUGAAAUCCCGAGGCUCAACCUCGGGCUUGCAGUGGGUACGGGCAGACUAGAGUGCGGUAGGGGAGAUUGGAAUUCCUGGUGUAGCGGUGGAAUGCGCAGAUAUCAGGAGGAACACCGAUGGCGAAGGCAGAUCUCUGGGCCGUAACUGACGCUGAGGAGCGAAAGCAUGGGGAGCGAACAGGAUUAGAUACCCUGGUAGUCCAUGCCGUAAACGUUGGGCGCUAGAUGUAGGGACCUUUCCACGGUUUCU